UACAGAGACUGCAAGCGUUAUUCGGAUUCACUGGGCGUAAAGGGUGCGCAGGCGGCCAAGUGUGUUAGGCGUGGAAAGCCUGAGGCUUAACCUCAGAAUUGCACCUAAAACUACAUGGCUAGAGCAUUGGAGAGGGUAGCGGAAUUCACGGUGUAGCAGUGAAAUGCGUAGAUAUCGUGAGGAACACCAGAGGCGAAGGCGGUUCUCUGGGCCUUACCUGACGCUGAGGAGCGAAAGCGUGGGGAGCAAACAGG
rnacentral:rRNA from 1 species